GUGAACCUGCGGAAGGAUCAUUGUCGCAAACCAGAGCCACCGGUGAACCCGUUCUGUCACUGAAGUUUGCGGGUUGUGCAUCUGAGGCCUCGAACCAGCCUGACUCAGCUGCCGUCCUCGCACGUCGAGGGCUCGGCUGAGUGGUGGUGGGGCCUUCGGGUGCUUGACCGAGCGAGCAGACACCUUUUGGGCGCGGCGUGCGCCAAGGACUUGAAGCGGAUUGUGCGGCGUCCUCUCCCGGUGCCUCGCCCCGUCCAGUGCGUUGGGCGUGGCUUGCCGUGGGGUUUCGACCCGCGUCUCUGGAUCUAUAAGACGACUCUCGGCAACGGAUAUCUCGGCUCUCGCAUCGAUGAAGAACGUAGCGAAAUGCGAUACUUGGUGUGAAUUGCAGAAUCCCGUGAACCAUCGAGUCUUUGAACGCAAGUUGCGCCUGAGGCCACUCGGCCAAGGGCACGCCUGCCUGGGCGUCAUGCCUCACCCAUCGCUCCCCUGCGUGCGGUCGGCAGGGAAGCGGAGAUUGGCCGCCCGUGCCCGAUUCGGAGCGCGGUUGGCACAAAAAGCAGGUCACGGUUUGGCACGACACGACGUGUGGUGGUUGAGAGGCGACUCGUCGCAGCUAGGACGUCGCGCCGUGCUGCACCUGGGACCCAACGCGAAACUGCGACCCCAGGUCAGGCGGGGCCACCCGCU
rnacentral:rRNA from 1 species